UAACGAAAGGUUCCCGGCUUUGGGACAAGU
rnacentral:piRNA from 1 species